GUAUGGGAAUUUCGUGACUUUAAAGGGAGGACAUCCUUGAACAGUACAACAGGAGAAAUCACUAUCAGACAGCUAACCAAGCAGCUCAGUGGGGGUGUAUGAUUGGUGGAAAAAUACAGACCUUUCAGCAGAGAGUGAAAUUCAUUGUAAAGUCAUUGUUUCCUAAAUGGAAGGUUGGGACUUGUGAUCCAAUGAUGGAUCGGGACCUCUUUUUAGGUACUAGCUAAAGGCGGGGAUGUAACACAUUUUUAAAAUGUAAUCUUUAUUUAACUAGGCAAGUCAAUUAAGAACAAAUUCUUAUUUACAAUGACCGCCUACCCCUAUCCAAACGCUGGGCCAAUUGUGCGCCGCCAUAUGGGACUUCCAAUCAUGGCCGGAUGUGAUACAGCCUGAUUCGAACCAGGGACUGUAGUGAUGGCUCUUGCACUGAGAUGCAGUGCCUUGGACCGCUGCGCCACUCAGGAGCAAACCAUGUAAAAGGUUCAAACACAAAAAGGUUGCCAACGACUGUGUCAUGUGUUAAGGUGCUGAACAAGAACCUUGCUGCUUUUGGUGUCCUGGCCUUAGUUUUGCUUGUUGUUGGAGUAUUUCUUAUCUACAAGAAGUGUUAAAGACCAAUGCAAAGUCAAUGGAGACCCUGAGACCAGAGCUGUCCGCUCCAUUGGAGGUAUCACAGCUGAUCCUCAACAGACAUCACAUCCACAUGCCUCAAUGUGGGCUGAGCCCUGGGGAUGACGACCACUCAGAAGAGGUUCCAGAGAAGACAAUAGGACCAGCCACUCUGAAGAGGACCCAGAGAAGGCAGUAGGACCAGCCACUCUGAAGAGGACCCAGAGAAGGCAGUAGGACAAGCCACUCUGAAGAGGACCCAGAGAAGGCAGUAGGACCAGCCAAUCUGAAGAGGACCCAGAGAAGGCAGUAGGACAAGCCACUCUGAAGAGGACCCAGAGAAGGCAGUAGGACCAGCCACUCUGAAGAGGACCCAGAGAAGGCAGUAGGACCAGCCACUCUGAAGAGGACCCAGAGAAUGCAGUGGGACCAGCCACUCUGAAGAGGACCCAGAGAAUGCAGUGGGACCAGCCACUCUGAAGAGGACCCAGAGAAGGCAGUAGGACCAGCCACUCUGAAGAGGACCCAGAGAAUGCAGUGGGACCAGCCACUCUGAAGAGGACCCAGAGAAUGCAGUGGGACCAGCCACUCUGAAGAGGACCCAGAGAAUGCAGUGGGACCAGCCACUCUGAAGAGGAUCCAGAGAAGGCAGUGGGAACCAGCCAUUCUGAAGAGGAUCCAGAAAAGGCAGUGGGACCAGCCAUUCUGAAGAGGAUCCACAGAAGGCAGUGGGAACCAGCCACUCUGAAGAGGACCCAGAGAAGGCAGUAGGACCAGCCACUCUGAAGAGGACCCAGAGAAGGCAGUAAGACCAGCCACUCUGAAGAGGACCCAGAGAAGGCAGUGGGAACCAGCCACUCUGAAGAGGACCCAGAGAAGGCAGUAGGACCAGCCACUCUGAAGAGGACCCAGAGAAGGCAGUAAGACCAGCCACUCUGAAGAGGACCCAGAGAAGGCAGUAGGACCAGCCACUCUGAAGAGGACC
ensembl:lncRNA